rnacentral:rRNA from 1 species
CCUACGGGUGGCAGCAGUAGGGAAUAUUGCUCAAUGGGGGAAACCCUGAAGCAGCAACGCCGCGUGGAGGAUGAAGGUUUUCGGAUUGUAAACUCCUUUUGUUAGAGAAGAUAAUGACGGUAUCUAACGAAUAAGCACCGGCUAAGUACGUGCCAGCAGCCGCGGUAAUACGGGGGGUGCAAGCGUUACCCGGAAUCGCUGGGCGUAAAGCGGGCGUAGGCGGGAUAGCCAGUCAGAUGUGAAAGCCUAGGGCUUAACCAUAGAAUUGCAUUUGAAACUGGUAUUCUAGAGUAGGGGAGAGGUAGGUGGAAUGCUUGGUGUAGGGGUGAAAUGCGUAGAGAUCAAGAAGAAUACUCAUUGCGAAGGCGGCCUGCUGGAGCAUGACUGACGCUGAUGCGCGAAAGCGUGGGGAGCGAACAGGAUUAGAUACCCUAGUAGUC